rnacentral:rRNA from 1 species
AUUAUUAAACCAUCACCCUGG